CGCUGGCGGCGUGCUUAAUACAUGCAAGUCGAGCGAGCUACUUCGGUAGCGAGCGGCGCACGGGUGAGUAACGCGUAGAUGAUCUACCCUCGAGACUGAGAUACCUCCGGGAAACUGGAGUUAAUACCAGAUAACGCACAUUUGUUGGUUCAGAUGUGUUAAAGCGGUGCAAGUCGCACUUGAGGAUGAGUCUGCGGCCUAUCAGCUAGUUGGUGGGGUAACGGCCUACCAAGGCGAAGACGGGUAGCUGAUCUGAGAGGAUGAUCAGCCACAUUGGGACUGAGACACGGCCCAAACUCCUACGGGAGGCAGCAGUAGGGAAUAUUGCGCAAUGGGGGGAACCCUGACGCAGCGACGCCGCGUGAGUGAAUGACGGCCAUUUUGGUUGUAAAGCUCUGUAAAGAGGGAAAAAUGUUGCAGUGAAGAGCUGCAAUUGAUGGUACCUCUAAAGUAAGGACCGGCUAAAUACGUGCCAGCCGCUGC
rnacentral:rRNA from 1 species